rnacentral:rRNA from 1 species
AUUGAACGCUGGCGGCAGGCCUAACACAUGCAAGUCGAACGGAGUGGCGGACGGGUGAGUAACGCGUAGGUAACUGCCUCAUAGCGGGGGAUAACUAUUGGAAACGAUAGCUAAUACCGCAUACUGUGAGAUGGACCUGCGUUGUAUUAGCUAGUUGGUGAGGUAAAGGCGUACCAAGGCGACGAUACAUAACCGACCUGAGAGAGUGUUCGGCACAACUGGGAGUGAGGCAAGGCCCAUGCUCCAACGGGAGGCAGCAGUAGGGGACCUUCGGCAAUGGACGGAAGUAUGACCGAGCAACGCCGCGUGAGUGAAGACGGUUUUCGGAUCGUAGAGCUCUGUGGUUAGAGAAGCGGUAACUAACCAGAAAGGGACGGCUAACUACGUGCCAGCAGCCGCGGUAAUUC